UGCGUAGGUGGUGGGGUAAGUCGGAUGUGAAAUCUCCGAGCUCAACUCGGAAAUGGCAUUGGAAACUACCCUGCUAGAGGGUCGGAGGGGGGACUGGAAUGCUUGGUGUAGCAGUGAAAUGCGUAGAUAUCAAGCGGAACACCAGUGGCGAAGGCGAGUCCCUGGACGACUCCUGACACUGAGGCACGAAAGCUAGGGGAGCAAACA
rnacentral:rRNA from 1 species